rnacentral:rRNA from 1 species
UAAACUGGAGGAAGGUGGGGAUGACGUCAAGUCAUCAUGGCCCUUAGACCCAGGGCUACACACGUGCUACAAUGGCGCAUACAAAGAGAAGCGACCUCGCGAGAGCAAGCGGACCUCAUAAAGUGCGUCGUAGUCCGGAUUGGAGUCUGCAACUCGACUCCAUGAAGUCGGAAUCGCUAGUAAUCGUGGAUCAGAAUGCCACGGUGAAUACGUUCCCGGGCCUU